GAGGACGUGUCGUACAGCUGCUUUAUGAAUACCUGAUGAUAACCCAUGAAAAGAUUCAUCCCCGUGCCGGCAGGUAUGGAUUUAAUACGGAGCUGUCUCCCGAAUCUCCCCAACACACCGUCCGGUGAUACUGCAAAUACAGCCGUGAGGCUGCUUCCAUUCAAACUGCCUCUUUGCACCCCAGUAGUGUAUAUACCAGAAGCCAAAACUGUGAUCAGAAUGUAUUCCUGAGGCUUUCUGCAAUGUAAGUGUCAGUCAUGCAAUUUUUUUCGGUGAAUUUUGCCUUCUAUUGUCAUUUUAUUCUCAUAAUUUAAAAAAAAAAAAAAAAUUUUUUUUUUUUUGGUGUGUGGAGUAACUUUUGAAUAAUAAGGCAAAAAAAAAAUUGCUUCAACUCAAUAGCUGCAUCCAUAAGGAAUAAUGACAGUAAUGUUCCAAUGUCAGUGCUCCUUUUUGUAGUAAUAAGCAUACAGUGCUGUAUGACUACACACACAAAGAUAUCGGGUGUUGACUGUAUUAACAUGGAACUUUAUUUUAGUAAUGUGGGUUUUUUUAUUAUUAUUUUUUUUAUUUCUGCAGCUUGGAAAGUCUCUAAGCUAUUCUGAUUUCAGAAUCCCCCUCCUCAGUAAUCAGAGAGAAAGCUUUCAGAUGACAUGUCUAUGCAAGGCAAGGCUCUGACAACGUCCUUCAUGGCGACAUCUAAGUUAAUUAGACCACUUUCAGAAGACAGGAUUGCAUUUUGAUACUCAGAAUUUAAUAUUUGUGAAUUCCUUCAAUGUUAAAACACACCACCAUCUGCAAAACAAAUCCAGUCAGUCACUUUCUUCAAAGUGAUGUAACUUCUUGAGAGGUAAUCUGCAAUAUUUUUUUUGUUAUAAAUAAAACAUCUAUUCCAGAUUUACAAAAGGCUCUUAAAAAAAAGGCUUCAAAUUUAACUUUCUCCUUAGAUAAUGUAGAAAUAAAAGGGGAAAAAAACUAUAAAAUAAGUAGGGUUAAAAGUAGUAACAGUGAAAGGAGACAUAAAAAGCUUCCAGGAUGUGUAUCUAAAGCUUGUAUAUUUACUGCCAUGAACAAAGACUGUGGCUAUACUGAGGAGAGGUGGAAUAACAAGAAAAUACUGAUCUACAUAUAGACUGGUUUUAUAUUUAUCCUGAAAAUACACCAGUUACAUCAGAACAAACAAAACCCAAGAAAUCAGAAGUUGUAACUUUUGAGCACAUCUGAUUACAUGCUGUAUGAGAGGGAAAAAAAAUCAACAUACGUAGAUGGCAAUUGAAACACUUUUCUGUGGGGAAGGAAGUCACAUUGAAGACAUGCUACAUCAAACAAUUAAACACUUAGAGAAUAAGCAACUCCAAAUUUGAGAAAACAGACUUUUUUUGUGAAGUGGUAGUUACUUAUUGAUUGAAGCACUUUUGCCAUGCAAGUAGUAUUUUUCCUAAGUUCUAAACAGAGAGAAAAUGAUGCAUUUGUAAAUUAGUACAGAAAUGUACAGUGUCACUGCAAAAGUCACUGCCAGAAUCUGAAUGUGAAGGUUCUCAUCUGUUUAUUCUCUCCAAUAGAAUUUAAGGCAUUUAUUAUGUGCUCUCACUAGUGACAGUGAAACACUAACUAGUAAAACUACUUACCUUUGUCACAAGAGACAUGAAAUACUGCACACAAAUACAACUGAAAAGUGUCUAUUAGCAUAACCUUUUGAGGACAACCUUCUUAAAUACAGAAAGCCUUUAUUUACUCUGCAGUACUUAGCUUCUUUUCAGUGAUACCCAAAUAGGGGGAAAAAAGCCCAACCCAAGCUGCUGUAUCACAAGACAAAGAUCUGAUUUACCACAAGUUAACUGUUUUCUUAACAGGCCUAGUAGCCAAUAGUUUUCAACUGUUCAGAUCACCUUUACCUGUAGAAAUAAUCAGCACGCUAACUUACACUUAGGCCACAAGACCUUCUGUAGGAACUGCUAUGUGUAGAAAUGCCUGCCUAGUAGGGCUUACAGAUAGCUUUGUUAAAAUUGAAGCCUUCUGUUAUGUAAGAUGACCUGACAUGAGUUAUUCUCAUGUGCAGGUCUCACCACAAAGC